CCCCCACCGCAAGUGGAUAAUAUUAAUAGUGUAAAAAUAUGCAAGUGUUCGGUAAACAGGAAGUUGUCGAGUGAUGAAUCUGAAAACGCAUCACACGGUAUAGCUGACUUAUAUCAAUCCUGAAACCAAAUUUCAGAAAUCCUUGUAUUGUAGUUCCUGAGAAAAAUGUGACGAAAAUUUUCAACUUGGCUAUCAUGUGUAAAAUCAGACAAGUGUUCGGUAAACAGGAAGUUGUCAAGUGAUGAAUCUGAAAACGCAUCACACGG
rnacentral:lncRNA from 1 species